rnacentral:misc_RNA from 1 species
UACGUAGGGUCCGAGCGUUGUCCGGAAUUAUUGGGCGUAAAGAGCUCGUAGGUGGUGUGUCGCGUCUGCUGUGCAAGUCCGGGGCUUAACCCCGGUUUUGCAGUGGAUACGGGCAUACUAGAGGUAGGUAGGGGAGACUGGAAUUCCUGGUGUAGCGGUGAAAUGCGCAGAUAUCAGGAGGAACACCGGUGGCGAAGGCGGGUCUCUGGGCCUUACCUGACGCUGAGGUGCGAAAGUGUGGGGAGCAAACAGG